rnacentral:tRNA from 1 species
GCCCCUGUAGUUCAAGCGGAUAGAACAAGGGUUUCCUAAACCCUGUGUUCCAGGUUCGAGUCCUGGCAGGGGUA